rnacentral:rRNA from 1 species
AGUCGAGCGCCCCGCAAGGGGAGCGGCAGACGGGUGAGUAACGCGUGGGAAUCUACCUAUCUCUACGGAACAACUCCGGGAAACUGGAGCUAAUACCGUAUACGCCCUUCGGGGGAAAGAUUUAUCGGAGAUAGAUGAGCCCGCGUUGGAUUAGCUAGUUGGUGGGGUAAUGGCCUACCAAGGCGACGAUCCAUAGCUGGUCUGAGAGGAUGAUCAGCCACACUGGGACUGAGACACGGCCCAGACUCCUACGGGAGGCAGCAGUGGGGAAUAUUGGACAAUGGGCGAAAGCCUGAUCCAGCCAUGCCGCGUGAGUGAUGAAGGCCCUAGGGUUGUAAAGCUCUUUCAACGGUGAAGAUAAUGACGGUAACCGUAGAAGAAGCCCCG